rnacentral:lncRNA from 1 species
AAUCUCCUGGCUGCUGCACUUUGGGCUGUUGUGAAUGUGAGUAUGUGCACGGAUCCCUGCUGACUAACUACCUCAGAACAGCUGGAUCAGAGCUGUGGUGACUCUCAAAGCUGAUUUCUGAAGAAUCUGCUCUGGGAAGGGGCUGCUGCACCUGAUAGUGACCGUCUUUAAUUCUGGCUCUGGUGAUCCCUGCUUGUCAUUUGUGCUUUCUGAUCACUAAAAAGCUUCCUUGCCUGGUCAGUAUUAUCCAAUUAGAUGCUCUGGCAGAGUCCCUAGUUAAGCAUUUUGGUCAGUUUUCCUGUUGGCUGCUUUUCCUUUGUAUUGGUGAGCUCCUGGUGAUGACGUGUCUUCUCACAGUCUGUGGCUACUUUUCUGUGGCCUGAUCAGGGCCUUUUGGUGCACAGAGAUUCUUCUUAAUGGAGUCUAAUUACCAGCUCUGACUAGAGCUUGGUUUCCUGUUUAAGAGACACUUGCUUACCUAAGAUUAUCAAUGUUUUCUUCUCCUGUGACAUUUAGGCCAUCAGUCGGGUUGGAAUUGAUUUUUUUAAUGGUAUAGACCGUCAAGACUUGUGUUUGCUUUUCCCGCCACCCCCAGUGAAUACCCAGCAGGCAGCACCUUUUGUUGAAAAGGCCAACCUUUCCCACCCCACCCCGUGUGUCUACAUCCUUGCAUCUGUUGUUCUGUGUCCACAUUGUCACUGUAUAAUAUAGUCCUUUAAAAGGGGCGUUCAUAACUCUUAGUCAUCUUCAGUUGUUCUGACAGGAAAAUGGAUUAAAACUGACAAGUAUGCUAAUUAAAUGAACAAAUCAUGUACAUAAUUUCAAAUAUAGGAAAUAGGAAUCGUUCAUCUUCUAAAAUUAUGAAAAGCCAUAGGGAAUUGAACAUGGGAGUUCUCAGUGGGGAAGUAUGAGGAAGAUAUUAACUGUUUCUGUGAAGUAAAUGAAGAUCUUCUAA